rnacentral:rRNA from 1 species
CUGUACAGCCAUGCCACCCUAAAUGUGCCAGAUUUCGUCUGAUCUCGGAAGCUAAGCAGGGUCGGGCCUGGUUAGUACUUGGAUGGGAGACCACCUAGGAAUACCAAGUGCUGUAGGCG